rnacentral:lncRNA from 1 species
GUGUAUAUCGUUCGAAAUUUUAUAUUUUUUUUGUUCAGUCAAUUAAGUACAUUAUAAUACCAAUCGUUAGUUGGUUCAGUAGUGAUUGACGCUGAACUUGGUAGGGAGAACCGCGGUUCUAUCCCCCGCAACUGCGAUCGGGAGGGGGCUGGAACCACUUGAUGCCAGAACUGACCCCCGAACCAGAUUCAAUUGGUGGUGAAAAACCAAAUUAAG